UUAUUUGAAUAUACACCACCGAUGGAAU
rnacentral:sRNA from 1 species